UACGAAGGGAGCUAGCGUUGUUCGGAAUCACUGGGCGUAAAGCGCACGUAGGCGGAUGUGUCAGUCAGGGGUGAAAUCCCGGAGCUCAACUUCGGAACUGCCCUUGAUACAGCACGUCUUGAGUCCGGAAGAGGUGGGUGGAAUUCCUAGUGUAGUGGUGAAAUGCGUAGAUAUCGGGAGGAACACCAGUGGCGAAGGCGACUACCUGGCCUGUUCUUGACGCUGAGGCGCGAAAGCUAGGGGAGCAAACGGG
rnacentral:rRNA from 1 species